CCUACGGGAGGCAGCAGUGGGGAAUAUUGGGCAAUGGGCGAAAGCCUGACCCAGCAACGCCGCGUGAAGGAAGAAGGUCUUCGGAUUGUAAACUUCUUUAUGAGGGACGAAGGACGUG
rnacentral:rRNA from 1 species